GACAGGGUAAGCUAAUAAAGCUACCGGGCCCAUACCCCGGAAAUGUUGGCUAAAAUCCAGCCCCUGUUA
rnacentral:tRNA from 1 species